AUUUCCUCGUUCUUUCAAGAAAAUUUUCGACAAUGGCAGAAAAUCUUCUGCCCCAGUUUUGGUGCUUUUCCUUGUUCUCCAGGUGGACGCCUGACUUCUGAUAUUUCAACUGUUCUUCCUUGUUCUCCACGUGGACGCCUGACUGCUAUUUCAAUUCUCAUCCUUGUUCUCCAGGUGGACUCCUGAUUGCUAUUUCUUUUCUUCAUCCUUGUUCUCCAGGUGGAUGCCUGAUUGCUAUUUCUUUCUUUCUAUCCUUGUUCUCCAGGUGGACGCCUGAUUGCUGUUUCUUUUAUUUAUCCUUGUUCUCCAGGUGGACGCCUGAUUGUUGUUUCUUUCAUUGCUCUUCCUUGUUCUCCAGGUGGAUGCCUGAUUGCUAAUACUUCCAUUACUCAUCCUUGUUCUCCAGGUGGACGCCUGACUUCUAAUACUUCCGUUGCUCUUCCUUGUUCUCCAGG
rnacentral:lncRNA from 1 species